UAAUUCUAGUAUAAAAAGUACAUCUAUCUUCCAAAUAGAAAGUUUUGUAAAAAGAAUUAUA
rnacentral:tRNA from 1 species